rnacentral:misc_RNA from 1 species
AAUUCUCAACCUUUUCUACUUUUGUAAGAAAAGGCUUGGAUGUGGAAGUCUGCAGGCCUCCCAGUGAGGUCAGCUCUUCUCAAAUGCAUUAGCAGGACUUUUAUCAUUCACUGGUCUUGGUGUGAUAAUUAUCUACGCCAUUGCCAAGAUGUGUGGUUCAGCUUUCCAAUUGUCCCCUUGGGACAACUUUCUUGACAA